UACGUAGGUGGCGAGCGUUGUCCGGAUUUACUGGGCGUAAAGAGCUCGUAGGUGGUUUGUCGCGUCGUCUGUGAAAUUCCGGGGCUUAACUUCGGGCGUGCAGGCGAUACGGGCAAUACUUGAGUGCUGUAGGGGAGACUGGAAUUCCUGGUGUAGCGGUGGAAUGCGCAGAUAUCAGGAGGAACACCGAUGGCGAAGGCAGGUCUCUGGGCAGUAACUGACGCUGAGGAGCGAAAGCAUGGGUAGCGAACAGGAUUAGA
rnacentral:rRNA from 1 species